CUUUGGAUGGUGAUAUUGGUUGGGAAGGUCCUGGAAGGUCACAAAGGGGAGGGCUGGGCGGGUCCUGGAAGGGGGAAGAGGUAUAGGAUGGCUGUGUUGGGUUGGAAGGGGUCUUAUAGGUCCUAUAUGUAUGGGGUGGUUGGGUUGGAUGGGUCCCGAAAGGUUAUAAAGGCUUUGGAUGGUGAUAUUGGUUGGGAAGGUCCUGGAAGGUCACAAAGGGGAGGGGCAGGGAGGUCCUGGAAGGGGAAAGAGGUGUGGGAGGGUUGGGUUGGGUUUAUAGGGUCCUUAAAGAGGAGAGGGUCAAAGGAUGGUUGGGUUGGAUGGGUCCCGGAAGGUUAAAAAGGCUUUGGAUGGUGAUAUUGGUUGGGAAGGUCCUGGAAG
ensembl:lncRNA